GUGUGUAAUGCAUCUUUAUUACUCUCCAAUGGCAGCGUGGUGGGAGUCAGCUCUGUGUGUAUCUGUGGGGUCAGCCGAGCGGUGAUAGCACUCCCACAUGUGUCCAGGUUCACAGCACAGGGCAGAUUAGGCCGGCCCACACAGGAAUACUGGGUAAACUAGUCUAACAUUUAUUGGGGUUGUAGUGGAAUGUGCCGGGUCACGCUGGGGAGAAGAUGCGCUUCCUCGGUGUGGUAACGAGAGAAGAAGUGGUGUUUAAAUAUAGAUAUAGACGUGGAAUUGAAUGAAAACUAAAUUGGUUUGUUUUGUUGUUUCUUUGACUACAGGUCAUAUUAGGUCGACAGAUUCAAGCUCUACAUUCCACCAGGAGGACCAUCUUGGGCUUGUAUCAUUGUUAGCAGAACCAACGUUUGAUCCGCUCAAGUAUGGAGGGAAAGGCUCCGGUAUUCAUCAUUCAUGGUUCGUUGGCUUCCCAGCUGUGCUGUGACCCACCUCCACCUCGUCUCCGCCUCUUCAAUCUACAGCCCUCCCUGCUGCAUCCUUCUCAGGCCAUACCACCACCAGUGUCCAGGCUCCAGGGAAGACAUCUCCAACUCUAACCUAACCAUCCAUACAAACUUUAAUUCAUAUAUCUGAUGCCUAUGGUCUGAUCGCCAAAAAUAUACAUAUG
rnacentral:lncRNA from 1 species